UGAAGUUUUGCCAGACGAUAAGCAUGGAAGACAUUGGAAGUGUUGUAGUUGAAAUAUUUUGUAAAAGCACAGGUAAAAGCUUCAAUCGAGACGUUAUCGAAAUGGAAUGACUGUGCUGUGUCAUCAGAAAGGUCUGUAUUAAUAUAUCGUACUUUUAAUCGUCUAUGAAGUUACUACAUGCUCUCGUUUUGAAACGCAUAUUAAAUAUUUUGAAUUCCCUUCGCCUUCGGCGAGAUUGAGCACUUCGGUUUUCGCUUAUUCACUUUAUUUCUUUGGUAAUUUUGUCAAAUUUUAUUAAUAAUGUUUCGAAAUACCCCGUACUUUGACUUUUGUGACUAAUGUGCUUUUUAUCUUCAAUUUUAGGGCGAAAAUUUGACGAGAAAGUUGAUUCAAUACGGCGACUGGUCGAAGCGCGUGGUGAGUAUGGCUGUCUUUAUUCAUCAACAUCAACUGAAGAUAAAAUGAGUUCUUUGUCGCUUUUUAAGUCUUCCGUAUCAAACUACAACGUGGUAUAUCAUUGUUAAAGCUUUAUUGAACAUUUUAAGUUAAGUUUAGUUUAAUUUUGGUCAAAAUUUUGUCCGUAAUGAGCGAAACUCCUGGAUGCAUUUCAUGUUCAAUUUGAUAUGCAUGACCGGAGUUGGCCUAUAUGAGUCUUGUUGUUGUAAGCUUUUUAAGUCUGUCUUACCAAAACCAGUUACAUGUUGUAAUGUUUUGCAAGCUUUCUAAACACUGUGAGUUAGGUUUAGUUCAUGUAUCAUCAUCUGACUUAGACCUGUUUCAAACGUCGCCGCUUCUCGUGUACGUACUAGGGAACUUUAGAUUUGACUACGAGUACGACUACGAGUACGAGAUUCGUCAAGCUAAACGCAUGCUGUAUGCUUACGCCAUCCCGUACUGACGCUAAAAAGUCGUAGCCGUCGCCCAUCUGAGUACGAAAUUGUGGAGAAACCUCGUAGUCCUCACGACGACUUUUCAAAAAAAACAAAGAAAGUUGACUUUUUUUGGUUUUCCAAAAAUAAUUUGUAGCAUUUACAUAGCGUUUAUCCGGCGCAAAUAAUAUAUUAGUGCUAAAUAUCUGGCCUGUUUUUAAUGUUAUGACUUAUUUACACGUUUUGUAGGGGAUUUUAGUCGGCAGGAGAUUUACUUUAUGAAACUUUUUCUCUAGUUGUUGGUUUACUGUUAUAAAAGCAACAUUUGAAUGGAAACGAAAACGACUACGGUAAUUUCCUCGCACGCGAUCAAAUCUCGUACUCGUAGUCGUACUCGUAGUCAAAUCUAAAGCUCCCUACUAAACCAGGGACGCCGGAACGAUGUGAAGGCAAGGGGGGCAGAUUUUCGUGAAAGGGCACUUUUGAAUUGAUAUAUACUAAGAGAUGUUUGCAAAACAUCGGGAGUUGAACUUCGCCUAAUCAUGUUUUCUAUGUAUUGGAUGAUAGGGGUGUGAGAGGAUUCUCCGCCAGGCGAUUGUGCUAUUCUUGAAGCUCGAUGACUGCAUUUCUUGCGUUUUCUGAAGCAAAUUCGUAAAAUAAUUGCACUAACAUUUCUGACAAUUCGCUAUUUCGCUAAAGCAAUUCUUUAAAUUGAAAGGGCACCUUUGCCACCCUUGCCCCUCCUGGUAAAGGGCAACGGGGCUGGCUGCCCCUCCUGCCCCCCAGUUCCGGCGUCCCUGUGCUAAACGCAUUAGAAACAAUAAUAAUACGGCAUUUCAGCUCAUCUAUUGUUUUUAAUUGGUUCGUCACAUGGGAAGCGCGACGUUUGAAACAUGCCUUAGUAUUUGUAUUUAAAAUUUAUUUAGACACGGUGACCAUUCAGCAAGGGGACAACUUGCAUGUUAGACUAAAUUUUAAUCUAAGUAAAAGAGAAGGGAAUAAAACACAACAGUUAAAAAGAAAAUAAUGAAAUUAGUAAAAUUGCAAAAUUUGGUUGCAAAAUGUUGUAGAAACAGAAAAUAUAGCCUAGCCUUGCGAAGUUUGCAUAUUCUGAGUAUAUUUGUAUUACGUGCUGAAAUUGUUACCAUGCAUUUUCGGCUAAAAUGAAAUGGUAAUAAUUUCCGCACGUAAUACGAAAAUAUCGAGAAUAUGCAAACUUCGCAAGGCUAUAUUUUCUGUAUUCUACAACAUUUCGUAACCAAAUUACUGAUUUUAAUAAGUUCUUUACGGGAAUUUACUUUUUUGCCUAAAUCAAAAAUUAGUCUAACAUGCAAGUUGUCUAAAGUAGCUAAAUUAGUCCCUCAUGUAUGUCUCCUAUUUCUAAUUUCAGAAUCUUGUUUGCACGGUUAUGGGUAAAUCUACUUCGCACGAUCCACGGUCACCGCUGAAAGUACGUCGAGGCUACAUGGGUUAAAGAGAUGUCUGACUCAAGGUUGGGAAAUUUGCCUGCUAGCAGGCAGUAGUCUGCUUGCUUGCAGGCAGUGUGAGCCUGCUAACUGGCAAUAGUUAGCCUGCUAACGGGCAGUGUAUCGCUAAGAUUCGGGUGUGUUCGUUUCUGGGUUGAAGUUUUUCUCCUGGCGGUCUGUAGUCAGUACAUUUGGACACAAGGUUGACUUUCCAUGCAGACGCUUGCAAAAACAUCGAGAUAUUUCACCUUGAAAUCGUGUGAAUUUCGGCACUGACAUCUGCUAUCGAAAGUCGAUCUUAAAGAACUUAACAUAUGAGCUUUCCGUCACAUGGUUAAUGCAUGCAUUCGGUUCGGUUAUUGGUGGGUUUCAGUAAGUGUUGCAGCCCAACCUUACAAAUGUUGAUAUAUAUAUAUAAAGAGCAAUCUAUUUUGCUUCAAAUGCAAGACUACAACAUAAAGAAACUGAAAAAAGUGAAGAAUAUAUUUCACUCCAGUAACUCAUAUUGAUACCCACCAUGCAUGUAUUCGGUCUAUUGUCGCAGUCUGUUGGAGCCAUUGUUCUCCUAGCUCUUUGUGCAAGUGUACUGCUUAGGGACCGUUCAUUAUUUACACCCGGGGUUGAUACCGAAGAGAUAUGGGUUGGGGAAUCAAGUUUUUGACUGGCUCAUGGGUUGGGUAAAAUAAUUUAUGGCUGUCUGUCAGCUAUAAAAUAAAACCAAAAUUACCAUGCAUUAGAAAAUAUGAAAAAAAUGUGUACAAUACAUUCUGUACCAUAACAGACCAUCGGUGAUUGAGGAAGGAAUAUAUCAUUGAUCAGCAGGAACGUGAUUGCUUUAGCACACUCAGUGAGUUUGAAUGUGAAUGAGCUUUUAGAAUUUAGGCAACUUGAUUUCUGUCACCAUAAUCUUGUGUGUUUAAUUAUUAUGAAGUACAGUAACACAUGGGUUGGGUAAACAUUAUUUUGACCAAUGUCGAGGUUGGGUAAAUAAAAAAAUUACAGUGUUUUUCGCUUCUCUUUGGUACCAACCCCAGGUAUAAAUAAUGAACGGUCCCUUAGGCAUCUGUGCUUGAACGCAGAAUUAAUAGGCAGACAAGUAAAACCUUGCCAGAUUUAAAAUUUUGGUUGUACCUAUAUGUUGCGUGCUCGAAUAAUUGUCAUGAAAUGGAUUGGGCUUCAGGCAGGAUUAAUCUAACCAUAUAUUCCUUAACUUUAACACGUCACAUGACUUAUUGAUUCGUCGACGUAAUAUAUGUGCGUGCAUUUUAUGUGAUUUGAAAAGCUGGCAUAGUUUUUCUUGGGUAGGAUAAUGUAAGCUGGGUGCAAAUGGUAUCCAUAGCUUAGAGGGUACAAAUGGUACCUGUAAGAAGAUUGGUGGAUAUCGUGGUGGAUUACUUUCCAUUGGGAAAAGAUUUUUCUUGGUUUUCUUCGGGUACUUCGGUUGCCUCCCACAGACAGAGUUGACUGGCGAAUGUUUGCUUAGGGAUGUAAUAACACAUGUGUUGUAAAGAUAAAUAGUCUAGGCUUUACUAAAGAUAUUAAACUGACUUGGUAC